GCUGGUCAUUGCUCGUUUAAGGAGAACUGUCACUUCACUGGGAAUGACAUAAGUCAAUAAAACAUAGAAAAUCACCUAUAAUAUGUUGUAACUAGAGUUGACCGUAUCAAACAUUAAGAGUUUUGGACCCUGGACCCAAACAUGGACAUAUCACUGUAUGUUGGAGUUCGGUGUUCGGCGAUUUAAUGGCGUGUUUUGAAAGGCUGCAGGGUAGCCAAUCAACAAGCGUUUGACUCGUGUGCCCUUAGAAGCCAUCACAUGCAUGCCUACUAAUGGCAU